rnacentral:rRNA from 1 species
CUUGAACGCUGGCGGCGUGCUUAACACAUGCAAGUCGAUCGGUAACAGGUGUAGCAAUACAUGCUGACGAGAGGCGGACGGGUGAGGAACGCUUGGGAAUCUGCCUAUCAGCGGGGGACAACCCGGGGAAACCCGGGCUAAUACCGCAUACGCUCUACGGAGGAAAGCCGGGGACCGCAAGGCCUGGCACUGAUAGAUGAGCCCAAGUCGGAUUAGCUAGUUGGCGGGGUAACGGCCCACCAAGGCGACGAUCCGUAGCUGGUCUGAGAGGACGACACGCCACACCGGAACUGAGCCACGGGCGGGACUCCUACGGGAGGCAGCAGUGGGGAAUAUUGGCCAAUGGGCGAAAGCCUGAUCCAGCGACGCCGCGUGGGUGAAGAAGGCCUGCGGGUUGUAAAGCCCUUUCGGUAGGGACGAAAGCUCUCGACCUAACACGUCGGGAGGUUGACUUAACCUACAAAAGAAGCACCGGCUAACUUCGUGCCAGCAGCCGCCGUAACAC